rnacentral:rRNA from 1 species
GACGAACCAAGCAAACGUUGUUCGGAAUCACUGGGCUUAAAGGGCGCGUAGGCGGUCUCUCAAGUCCGGGGUGAAAUCUUUCGGCUUAACCGGAAAAUUGCCUUGGAUACUGUGAGGCUCGAGUGAGGUAGGGGUAACGGGAACAUCCGGUGGAGCGGUGAAAUGCGUUGAUAUCGGAUGGAACGCCGGUGGCGAAAGCGCGUUACUGGACCUUUUCUGACGCUGAGUGCGCGAAAGCCAGGGUAGCGAACGGG